UACGUAGGGUGCAAGCGUUGUCCGGAAUUAUUGGGCGUAAAGAGCUCGUAGGCGGUUUGUCGCGUCUGUUGUGAAAACCCGAGGCUCAACCUCGGGCCUGCAGUGGGUACGGGCAGACUAGAGUGCGGUAGGGGAGAUUGGAAUUCCUGGUGUAGCGGUGGAAUGCGCAGAUAUCAGGAGGAACACCCGUAGCGAAGGCGGCACUCUGGGCCGAUACUGACACUGAGGAGCGAAAGCGUGGGGAGCGAACAGG
rnacentral:rRNA from 1 species